rnacentral:rRNA from 1 species
UACAGAGGAGCCAAGCGUUGUCCGGAUUGACUGGGCGUAAAGCGCACGCAGGCGGCACCGCGCGUGGGGUGUGAAAUCUGGCCGCUUAACGGCCAGGCGCCAUCCCAUACGGCGGAGCUGGAGUGAUGCAGAGGUUGAUGGAAUUGCCGGUGUAGUGGUGAAAUGCGUAGAGAUCGGCAGGAACACCCAGGGGGAAACCAGUCGACUGGGCAUCUACUGACGCUGAGGUGCGAGAGCGGUGGGGAGCGAACCGG